rnacentral:lncRNA from 1 species
ACGGAGCAGUGCCACCUGUGGCUGGCCUUCUGGUGCGACUUCUACGGCGCCGUCAUGGUGCUGGCUACCUGCCUGCUGUCCGUGGCUUACAAGGAAGACGUGGGCCCCGCCGCCGUGGGCCUGGCCAUCUCCAACACCAUCCAGGUGCGUGAGCUGCGCAUGCCUGUGCGGUUGCGGUGGGAUAACCGGACCGUUUACCCACUCCACAUGUCAUGUGCGUACUGGGGUUCUUGCUAUCACUGCAGUCAACUGCUCACUGGCUAAUACCAUGCUCAAUGUACUGCCACAGGUGCUGGUGUUCUUCACCUGGGUGGUUCGCGGCGCCGCCGACACCGUGUCCAUGUGGGACGCCGUGGAGCGUAUCGCUACCUUUGUCAGCAACGUGCCGCAGGAGGCCGACCUGGCGCCUGCACCGCUGCCGGGCGCGGCAGCCCCCGGCGCCUCGGCCGGCAACCUGGCGGGCAUGGGCGAUAAGAGCAAGUCGCUGGUGGAGAUCAAGGUGGAGGGCGACGGGCUGGUGUCGGCCGACGGCGAGCCGCCCAAAGACUGGCCCACGCAGGGCGACAUCCGCUUCGAGAAGGUGUGCCUGCGCUAUUAUCCCGGCGCGCCCUUGGCGCUCAAGUACGUGUCGUUCCACAUCAAGGACGGCGAGAAGAUUGGUGUGGUGGGCCGCACCGGCUCCGGCAAGACCACGCUGCUGAUGGCGCUGUUCCGCAUGUUCGAGCUGGCGUACGGCCGCAUCGUCAUCGACGGCAUCAACAUGGCCAACAUCAAGCUGCAGAAGGUGCGCAUCGUGCCUGUGCGUGCGUUUGGGUGCAAAACUUGGCGCACUCGCAGUGGUCCCGAGCCCAUGCGCUAAUGCACUUCUCCUGACGCGCUGCUAGAGCGUAGGUCUAGCCUGUAAACCUAUCACCUUUGAUUGUGGCACGCCGCGUUGCUCUUGGUUCGUGUGCAGGUCCGCGCCGGUAUCGCCAUCAUCCCGCAGGAGCCGGUGAUGUUCAAGGGCACAGUGCGCUCCAACCUGGACCCCUUUGGCGAACAGCCCGACGGCGAGCUGUGGCGCGCGCUGGAGCUGGUGCACCUGAAGGAGGCGGUCGCGGAGCUGGGCGGGCUGGACAGCGCCGUGGCGGAGGGAGGCUCCAACUUCUCGCUGGGCCAGAAGCAGCUGGUGUGCAUGGCGCGCUGUGUGCUCAAGCGCACACGCAUCCUGGUGCUGGACGAGGCCACGGCGGCCAUGGACCUGCAGACGGACGCGCUGAUCCAGAAGACCAUCCGCAAGGCCUUCGCGGACCGCACCACCGUCACCAUUGCGCACCGCCUGGACACCAUCAUCUUCUCCGACCGCAUCCUGGCCAUGGCGGCGGGCCAGCUCAAGGAGUUUGACUCGCCCACCACGCUGCUCAAGAGCCCCGCCAGCUUCUUCACCAAGCUGGUGCGUAGUGCAAUGUGGUGUGGGUGUGCGUGGUGUGUGUGUGUGUGUGUGUGUGUGUGUGUGUGUGUGUGUGUGUGUGUGUGUGUUAAAAAAUCGAAACGAAAGCCCGCCCAAUGACGCGACGUGUGUGUGUGGAAAAGAGCACAAGGAAAACGUUGCGCAAAGACAGUGUAUGCGAUGCAGCAAGGCGACGGUUUACGGAUGUUACCUGAAGUUACCUUGCAUACGCGUGUGUGUGUGUGCGUGUGUGUUGUGUGUGAGUGUUGUUGCGGCCGUACUGCUUUGCACCAUCCUAAUGCCCUUCAUUACUGUGCCAAUGUCCCGCCUGACUUGCUACGGUUCCUGGCUGACUGUCUUUCGUGACCUCGGCUCACAGGUGGAGGACACGGGCCCGCAUGCGUCCAAGAUGCUGCGGCGCAUGGCGGCCGAGGGGCCCAAGGACGAGGAGUAAGCGGACCGAGCUGUGUGAGCGACUUGAGGAAUACAGCGUGCGACCGUGACAUCCUGG